rnacentral:rRNA from 1 species
AUGAGGAAGGACCUCCCUGAAUUCCAGUUGGAUUUAUGUUGUGGUUUGAGCCCCAGGAGUAACAGAAGCGGAAAGGGAAGGAACCAGGGGCAGUCCAGGGCUAAACUUCAGGUUGCCUUUUUCAUUGAAAUUAUCACCAUUGCCUUUUGGAGCAUCUGGGUUGUAAGAAAUGCAAAAGUUUUUGACAAUGAAGCCCUGACUUUUGAGAAGUGGCAUCAAACGUAUAAGCAUGAGAUGAUCAUGGUUGGUCAUAGGGCCAAAAAGAAAUAUGCUGAGGCCUUGCUGGCCUGGCUACCAAACCUGUAA